rnacentral:sRNA from 16 species
GGUUGCAACAUCCCCGUGGGUUGGGCGAGAGCCGUAGUGAAAGGCUGGAGCAGCGAAUCCACUGCAACC